rnacentral:rRNA from 1 species
UGUGUAGGCGGUGCUCUAAGUCUGUUGUGAAAUCUCCCGGCUUAACUGGGAGGGUGCAGCGGAAACUGGUGUGCUCGAGGGUGGGAGAGGAAAGCGGAAUUCCUGGUGUAGCGGUGAAAUGCGUAGAUAUCAGGAGGAACACCUGUGGUGUAGACAGCUUUCUGGACCACUUCUGACGCUGAGACACGAAAGCGUGGGUAGCAAACA